AGCCAUUUUGGGAGCUGGGGCUGCCCCCGUAAACACGGAAAAGGAAGAGCAGGAGGUGGACACUGCCCAACUAUGUGAUGAGGACCAUUUUCAAUUGGAGCAGAGCCAGGAGGAAGAUUUCCCACAUGUCUCUCAAGAACAUCUGGCUCGAAGCAAUGGUGAAAUAUUGCGACCAGCACUGAUGAGGAUAACCCCACAAUUCAAGGCAAUUUUGGUACUUACCACCAGCAGACAGUACACACAAGCACAGGGCACUAUCAUAACGGGGAUGGCAACUACAGAAACACGUGUCGCAGACAACGAGUGAAGAGCACAGAUCCGCACAGGGGACUAUUUUGAUGCAUGUCACUCCCACAAUGCACCGCACAAAGGAACUCACUGGUGUGGAAGCCCGCAAUCACUGUGACUGAUUCGGUCUCUGGGCUAGUUAAGGAAGGAAUGAACCCUAAACAGAAAACUGCAGCUACUCUUUUCUUCAUGUUUAACUAGACUACUGGGACAAAGAGAACGUGCAUCUCGAGCUUAAUUACAGCUUCUUUUCUCACCUGUUACAAAAAAAAUUGUCAUUUUUUGUACUUUGUAAGUAACUGACAAAAUAAUAAAGAGAAAAGUAUGACUAUGGCUAAAAUAAUAAAUGCAUAGGAGUGUAGAACAGUGGGGCACAAGUGUCCUGCAGCUGCAGUCCCCUGUCCCUGCCAGCUGGGGAAUUGUUCAAAUCAUUAGUUUUUAAUGUGAGCUAUUUCAUCUCAUA